CAAUGUGUUCUGUAUGUUAAGGUUUUUUAAUUGUAGAAUAAAUUAUAUUUUAAAAGUCAAAGUCUCUCUCUCUCUCCCCACAGAUGUGUCGUUAUCUCUAGCAUCCCUGCUGGUGCCUCUACAAAUUACACCUGCAACAUGAGGGGUCGUCAUGUGAACAUCAUCAUUCCCAAUGUUAUCCAGGCUCUCACGCUCUGUGAAGUGGAAGUCUAUGGGGUUCCAGUGCCUGUUACUAAGAGGGCAUUUCUGAGAUUGAAGUUUAACAUCAGUGAGUAUCUUAUGAACCCUACUGUGAGGGACAAAAUUAUUCAAAAGGUUUGUGUUCAUGACAUGUAUGGUAGAUUCAUAAAUAAAUAAUACUAAUUUUUCAUCAUAGACGAUAUCUGCCAAUGCCCAGCCUUCAGUGCGUCAGAUCUGUUGGACUACAGAACCAGAGGUGGAAAAUGAAACUUAAAAAAACGGUGGCAGAAAUAUAUCUGAAACAAGAAGAAGAAGAAGCGGAAGAAGAAGAAGAAGUGUUCAAAGAACAAAAAGAAAGAAAAAACAUCAAAUGUGUGAGGUUUGGGUUUAGCACUUGAAAAUACUAGCUAACUGAUGUUAUAGGUUUAUUAAUUAGAAGUACUAGAAGUUUUUUAGUUUGUUUGUUUGGGAAAUGUAUCCAUGAAAAAUUAUUACCACAGGGUUUGUACAAGGUGCUUGAAUUUGGCAUUUGGAAAUUUAAGUACUGGAAAACCUUGAAAAU